AGAAUCAACGCUGGCGGCGUGCCUAACACAUGCAAGUCGAACGAGAAAGUGGAGCAAUCCAUUAGUAAAGUGGCGCACGGGUGAGUAACACGUGACUAACCUACCCUUGAGUGGGGGAUAACCUAGAGAAAUCUGGGCUAAUACCGCAUAAUACCUUCGGGUCAAAGGAGCAAUUCGCUUAAGGAGGGGGUCGCGGCCGAUUAGUUAGUUGGCGGGGUAAUGGCCCACCAAGACUAUGAUCGGUAUCCGGCCUGAGAGGGCGCACGGACACACUGGAACUGAAACACGGUCCAGACUCCUACGGGAGGCAGCAGUGGGAAUUUGCGCAAUGGGGGAAACCCUGACGCAGCAACGCCGCGUGGAGGAUGAAGCCCCUUGGGGCGUAAACUCCUUUCGAUCGGGACGAUAAUGACGGUACCGAGAGAAGAAGCCCGGCUAACUCGCGCCAGCAGCCGC
rnacentral:rRNA from 1 species